rnacentral:rRNA from 1 species
UGAAUAACGAAUAAGUCGUAUAAAAUUCUAGAUAUAAAACAGAUAAUGACAACUUUAUAUCUAUUAGUCUUGACCAAAUUACGUGCCAGCAGUCGCGGCAACACGCAGAAGACAAGUGUUAUUCAUCUUAAACAGGUAUAAAGGGUACCUAGACGGGAAAUCAAGCCUAAAGCAGGGACUAAUAUUCUAGAGUUUUAUGGGUGAAAGUCGAAUGUCUGGAGUAGAGAUUAAAUAUUGUAAUACUAGAUGGACGGACAACGGCGUAGGCAACUUUCUAUGUAAAAACUGACGUUGAGGGACGAAGCCCUAGGUAGCAAUAAGGAUUAGAGACCCCGGUAGUCUAGGGAGAAAAUGAUGAGUGCCAUAGGCUAGAAAAGUUAGCCUAUAAAUGAAAGUGCAAGCAUUCCACCUCAAGAGUAAGGCGGCAACGCGCAAAUUGAAAUCAUUAGACCGUUCCUGAGACCAGUAAUGAAGUAUGUUGUUUAAUUCGAUGAUCCGCGAAUAACCUUACCACGUUUUGAAUACUUUUUGUAAAAGCAGGAGUGCUUUUAUAGAGACAAACUGUACAAGCGCUGCACGGCUGCCUUUAGUUAAUGUCGUGAGACUUUGGUUAACUCCUUUAAUUAACGAAAGCCCUUGUUUUAUUUGUAUAUAAAACAGUUCUCCGCUAUAUUGGAUAAGAUAACUGGGAUUAAGGCAAGUCAUCAUGGCCUGAAUAGCGUGGGCUAUAAACGUGCCACAUGUCCCUUUACAAAAGGAUGCGAUAUUGUGAAAUGGAGCUAAUCCCCAAAAAAGG